rnacentral:misc_RNA from 1 species
AACGAAGACUUUGUCUUGGCUGGCGCGUUGUUGGAGGUAGGGUGAAGUUGGGUGUGCGUUGAAUAUAAAUUUUUAAAUAUAGAAAAGCUUGAUAGAUACUUAGUUGAAUUAUCAAAGACGUAAGGAUAUAAUGAGUUAUGGUAGUAGAGGUCCUCCUUGUAUUGAUGGUAUGACUUCGUUAAAAGUGGAUAAUUUGACGUACAGAACAACAGCAGAAGAAUUGAAACGUGUUUUUCGUAAAUAUGGCGACGUUGGGGACGUGUAUAUUCCUCGACACCCAUUUACGAGGGAUAGCCGUGGUUUCGCCUUUGUCAGAUUUUAUGACAGUAGAGAUGCAGAAGAUGCAAUGGAUGCUUUGGAUGGAUAUCGUUUAGAUGGCCGAGAACUGAGAGUACAAAUGGCAAGGUACGCUAGACCGACAGAAACAUGGCGAGGGCCACCAAGGGGAGGGAGAAACAGGGGAAGAGGGGGACGCUCACGAUCUCGUUCUCGUGGUCGUCGUUCAAGGUCUCGUUCAAGAAGAUCACGUACUAGGUCACGAUCAAGAUCUCGGUCUAGACGACAUCGUUCUCGAUCAGGAAGCGACAGGAGGAGGAGGAGGUCUCGUUCCAAGUCACGUUCUAAGAGUCGUAGCCGUAGCAAAAGUAGGUCGAGAAGAGACAAGAGUGCCAGCAGGAGUCCUUCUAAAAGACGAGAGGAAGAGAGGGAAAGUCGUAGCGUUAGUCGCAGCAAGAGCAGAAGUGCAAGUAAGAGUCCGGUGAAGGAAAACAAUUUUGAAGAUGAAGAAAAUCACGUGGAACGAAGUAGAAGUCGGAGCAAGAGUCGGAGUCCAAGUCGAGAAAGAAAAGAGGGCGUGGAAGAGGAAAAUGAGAAGCAGGAGAGCGAAACUGAUGACAGAAGGGAGAGCAGAAGUAGAAGUGGAUCAAAAAGUCCCGAAGCAGAGUAAUUUGUGUCCUUAUGAAAUAGUAGAUGACUUGUAAGAAAUGGUUGAGAUCCUGAGUAAAAAAAGGAGCUUUUACUGAUGCAACGGUUCAUAGAAGGGGCUGUAGUAAGCAGUAAAGGUGGUAUGGUGGCUGGGUUCGAGUGAGACCAGAACCUGGUGACUACCAUGUUCCUGAGCCAGUUUGCUGUUUCCCCUGCCUGCCUGCAGAGGGCUGCUGUGCACCAGGUUCACUUGCAGAAAGUCGAGGUCGAGUUGUUGCAGUCAAACAGACGUGUGUACGGGUAGCAGGAGCUGUUUCAGAGCCUUUUUUUUUUCCAUUUGCAAUCAUGACCUGGCUUAUUCUAGUUAAAAAAAAAAAGAACACUAGUUUUUGAACAGGGUUUAUUCAGAGAAUUCUAGCGUACAUACGUCACAGUUUUUUUAGGAAUACUUCAGCUAAGCUGGCACGAGUUGUAAGAAUAGUGCAGAGUUAAAUUGUUGUUUUUUUGUUGUUUUUUUCAAGCUGCUGUCUUUCCCACACUUCUGGUGAAAAUUCUAGUUGUGAUGUGUUUAAAAUGACAGCAAACUUUUAGGAAACAAACAAAAUUGGACUAGUAGAUAACAGUUACAGUAUUCACAUCCUUAAGUAAAACAUCAGUACUGUUGGCAUAAGUUUCAUCUCACAAUUUGCAAAAAUUGAAUCAACUUUUUUUUUUUAAGAAUCAGUUGAAGUUUAUAGUUUGGGACCUCUGUCCUAUGACAAGUAUUUUCAAAUAUUGCUCACAAAGCUACUUUAUAAGAGUUCUAUAAUUCUGGAAAUAUCUCGGCAUGGUCGGUCUCUCGGGACCAUAUCAAAAUAUUGUUUGUUUAAGUUUCGUGUUAGUCAACAUAUGUUAACCCAUUGACUGCGGCUGCUCUAAACGCGCGUGGAACCUUUGCAAACCGUGCACUAUAUACACGGCACACUCGCAUUCAGCUGCAAUAGGCGGACGAUACCCUACACAGCGAAUCGGUAGUCAAUGGGUUAAGAUUUACCCAUAACGAUAUACAGGUGUAUUUGUAGCAUUUAUUGUGUACAAUAUUGUAUUUAAAGAUUUAAAAUCUAAUUAUUAUAAUUUGUAGUCAUGCAGUAAACAUUUGUCUAUUUAGAAAGCAGAAUGAAUUUUGUUGCCGAGGUUGAUUUUGUGAGAUGCAAAAGAAUGUCAUUUUUUAAUCUAGCACCUUAGUAGGUUAGUUUUGUGGGUGAGGGGGUUUCUUGUCUGCUUUUUUAGAAAUUCAUAACCUUAGUCGUUUAUACGUUCGAUUUGUUUCCUUCACAUACAUCCACGUGGGUCAGUAAUUUUCGUUCAGAUCUUUGUGCUACAUUUCCUACUUCUAUGGCUUCGUAAAUUGUAUAUUUUUGGCGUCUCUUUAAAUUUAACCAAACGAUCCAUCAGUUAUUUGAAAUUUGUUUUUUAAAGUGAUUUUUUAUUUAUUUUCUGUGAACUAUCUGAAGAAAAGCUUUGUUUUACAACAUUAUUGCCAUGUGGUUGUAGAAAAUGGUGUUUUUUCAAGUUAGUCUCACUCUAACAGUUGGCUCCUUUUUCUUGCAAGAUUCCUGAGCACGAGUCAUCUCUAGUUUUGCUCAAGCAGUUCAAAUUCUGUGUGGUGUAUUGGUAAUGUAUCAGUCAUUGUUGAAAAAUGUACAUUCUAGGGGGGAUUUACUUGCAAAAUUUAUCGGUGGAUUUAAUGUAUGGCCCAGGGUUUUUUUAGUUGAAUGUCACUGCUAAACAAAAUAGGGAACUUUCUUUUUGGCAGACUCCAGUUUUCGUCCGUGCAAGGAUAAAGAAAAACCUUGACAACUGACAAAAGGUUUUGUUUUUGCCUGUGGUGCUACGAAAGUUUUCACAAGGACUUUUCUAGCUAGCGAAUAUGCUGGUAAUAAUCUUGUUUACAGCUGAGGUUUUCUUUGAGAGGUUUGUUAUUAAGACCUGCUUGUAUUCUUAACAGUGCAUUCAACUAGCAGAGGUGAUUUUUAGUUACAUUGUUAUUUGUUCGACUGAUUAUGUUGUCUAAUUUGUGGGUUGAAAUUUAGUGAAUAAAUUUGGAACUUCUGGACUGAAAUCAACAUGGAAUCCUCAGGAUUUAAAAGGCAUGUGAAAGUUAUUUAAGGAAAUGUUACAUCUACAACUAAAAUGUUUUGUACUUUAAAGUGAGGUUAGUUUGUACUAAAGAUAAAGAAUUAUCUGAAUACAAGGAUUAAUAUGGCCUGUGUUUUCAGGUCGGUAACCAAGUUUUAGUGGGAAUUCCUACACUCAGAAAAAAAAAAAAAGAUUAUUGCAAGGCAUGACAAUUAGCCUGCAAGGAUUGAUUUUAAAUUAAGCUAUAAAUUUAUGAAAUGUGAAGUAUUAUCCUAAUAAUGAACCACAACGAUCUGGUAGUUCUAACAAUGAUUCAGUUGAGUUUAUUUUAGAGUUUCUGUUGGGCAGUUUCGUGUUCAACAACUUCAGUACCGAAGAUAAAGGAAAUGGCGGCCAGGAUUACAUCAAGCUUGGACUAAUUUAUUGAAACAAAUCCAGCGUCGUUGAAGAUUUCCAAAAGUUUGGCAGUCAACCCAUUAAUACACUGACAAGAUAAACCUGUUAAAUGUUUUGGAGCCUAUCUGUACCUUUCUUGUGUUUGUUGUUCAUCAUUAUUAUCAUGUCACUCUUCUUUCUUAAUGUUGUGAGACAUUUCUGUAAACUUAUUAUUUUAUGUACGGUUUUCCCUUAAAUGUGGUUAUUAGACCAUUUCUCUAAUUUUUGCUUUGCAAGGGAGACUGGAACUUUAUUUUUUUUUCCCAUGUUCAAGUUGUUAAAUAAAUAUUAGUAAAACCUUU